GGCUUGGUGGCUCAGUGGGUUGGAACAUCAAAAGGUUUUGGGUUCGAUUCCCAGUCAGGCCA
rnacentral:tRNA from 1 species